ACAUUUGAGGUUUGGGAUUGUCCCUAUUUGACAACAAUAUUUCCAACCGAGACAUCCUUCCGAAUUUGACAAAUUUAGUGGUGAAGAAUUCCUCAGGAUUGGUACAUCUAGUAACGACUUCAGCAGUCACAAAUUUGGUACAUCUUACUUAUAUGACUAUAAUAGGAUGUGAAAGAAUGAAAGAAGUAGUGGCCGAUGAUGGAAACAGAGAAGGAAAAGUGAUUUCUUUUGGGAAGCUAAGAAUGUUGACACUUGAACAUCUGCCAAACUUAGAAUGCUUCUCUUCCAUCCCAAGUUGCAUCUUUAGGUUCCCAUCCUUAUGGAAUUUUGAAGUGGAAGAGUGUCCAAAAAUGAAGAAUUUUUCUAAGGGUACAUUAAGCACACCAGAACUAGUUGUUGUGUCACUGUUCAGAUACAAGUGGAAAAGGAACUGGGAAAAGGGUGAUGAUCUCAAUACAACCAUACAGAAGUUAGCAGCAUAAAUCAAUGCACAUAGAAUUGUAGGAAGCAAAGCGGGUCUCUCCUUCUCCUUCUCCUUCUUGACGCCAAAGGCUCUUUCUCCAUCUUUCUUCUUCUUCUUCCUCCGUGGAGCGAAAUUGGGGGAAGCCUCUGCUGCCUUCACAACGGACGGAGCAAAAAUGAAGCAUCAGGAAUUGCCAGGACUGCGAGAAGCGAAGCUGCAAUUAGCGGAGCGGAGCCAAGUAGAUUCAACCAGACGCUGUCGUUGUCGCCGUCGUCACCGCCGGAGGUGGCACCACGGAGUCUGGACAGUUAGUCGUCCACUCACUUCAUCAAAGAAGAAGAAGAUCACACUCUCUCUCCGCAUCAGUAUCCGACAAAUCGCAACAUAAUCAGGAAAACAAGAAAAUUGCGACUCUUAGAUAUUGAGACAUGUCAUGGACAUUGAAGCUCAGGAGCCAUGGAUGUGGACACAGGGGGGCCUUUUUUUCUGCUGGUUGGCCCACAUUUGCUAGAGAAGCUCAUCUGCAUGUAGGAGAUGUUUGUAUUUUUGAGCUAAUUGAUAGUGAGGAUGUGUGUUCAGAGUCUACAUUUCCACUAGAGCUGGUCAGAACAGACAAGUCUGAAUGUCCAGUGAGUCCCUCCUAAGCAAUUUUUCAUGAUUCCAAGUGUUCGAGGCCUCUCACUGCCCUUGAGAAAGCUAGAGAAUUCAAAGUGGAGUAUCCCUUUUUCCAGACAGUGAUGUGGCCAUCUUUUCUUAAGAAAGAAGUGGUGGCUGCCUAGGCUUGGGAAGAAGAGGUGACACGAAAUGUCCAGCUUAAGCCAUAGCUACUGCAACAGGCCUAGGCUUGGCAUGACUGAACUCACUGCAACAGCAUGGCAACACUAGUCAGAUAUUGCUCCCUGGCAACAAAUGGUUUACAAGAGCUACCAUUGCAAGCAGGUUCAAACUUGCAAUCGAAAAUGAAGGGAAGCCAAUGUGGCCUAGACCUCAAAAAUUAGUGCCACCAACUCGAUGGUAUGAAACGAAGAAAAGAAGCUCACUUCUUUUUGGCCAGGCAAAAGAAGAUCACUUACUUUCUGUGCUUGUGUGUCCAUUUAGGUCCCUAUGUGUAGCUUUUCAUGUUUAUUCGAUGCAUAUUGCAAUGUAAGAUUGGUGACUCAGAUAUUCACCAGAUUCAACUUGUCUCUAUAUUGAUUACACGUACUUAGUGUAGAAUCUAAGAGCACAGGAUUGUGAUAUUUUGAUUUCAGAUUGCAAGUUGUGAUUAAAGGCGAUCCCAUCAUGUCUUUUAGACUGCUAAUAUGGACUUUGGAAACUAACAACUACUAGCAUAAA